AAAAAAAAAAAAAAACACUCUUUCUCUCACUCUCGGGCCUCUCUCAUUCGAUCUCAUUCUCUCCCCCUCCUCUUUCACUCUUUGUCUCUUAAAAAAAAAAAUAGGGUAAAGCUCUUUGGAACCUAACUAUUUGAAACACUGUCACUCUUAGUCACCACUCACCAGCGACUAUCAACAAGCAUCUCAUCCAGUCCCCCGCCAUCUUUCCAACAAGGUAAUCUCUUUCUUCCGUUCUCUCAUUCACUCCCAAUCUCUCACAAUUUCACCCUCUCGAUCGGACCUCUCACUCUCUCUAUCUCUCUCUAUCUCUAUCUUUUGCUCUAAAAUUCAAUCUCUCUAUCUUUUUUACUUUCACUCUCACUUUCUCACUAUCCAAUCUAUAUCAAAACCCUAGCUCUCACCAUUACUCUGCAGUGGGCCAGUGGCUGUGAGACCAUCAACAACCUUGAUUCCCAUCAUCUUGUCAUCAACCACUACGUUAAUUCUCAGAAAAUUGGUCGUUCAAAGGUGAGGCAGCUCCGUGGUUCGUGGUCGUGGCUGUGUUAUGCUCGUGUGUGGCUCUGUGCUUAAAGCUACGAUAACGGUAAGUUGUUCUAUUCUCUCAAACUCUAACUGGUUGUGGUUGUGGAUGGAUAAAGUGUGGUUGAAUUGUCUCUAUGAACUGUUGUAUCGUAGUAUGUUUCUUUCAGAGCUGAAUUGUAUCUGUGAAAUGUUGAAUUGCUUCUAAAAUAGUUUAAUUAUGACAGUUCAUAUGGUUUUAAAGUAGUUUUAGUGUGAGAGUUCAUAUGUUUUUAAAAUGCUGAAUUGUGAAUUGUAUCUCCGAAUUGUCUUUGAAACUCUAUUUUUAUGAAAUUUUGAAUUUAAAUCGUGAGACUGCUUGCAUUUCAGAGUCUUUGUGACUCCAAAAUUUUUGAAAUUGCAAUUUUAAACAGGUUAGCUUACAUUUCAGAGUCUUUAUGAUUCUGAAUUCCUAAAAUUGAAUUUUAAAAAAGGUUAGCUUUCAUUUCAGAAUCUUUGUGACUAUGAAUUUUGAAAUUGCUGUUUAAUUUGUAGUUUUUGUGGAAUUAUGGAAUAUUUUGCAAUUUUUGAAUAUUGUGGAAUAUUAUGGAAUUGAAGUUGAAUUUGGAACUGUUUAAACAAGUUAUUUGCAUGUUUGUAGUUGCAAUUGUGCAAUUUUAAAAUGGUUAGCUUACAUUUCAGAGUCUUUGUGAUUCUAAAAUUUGUAAAUUGCUGUUUAAUUUGUAAUUUUUGUGGAAUUGUUGAAUAUUGUACAGUUUCUGAAUAUUGUAGAAUUUUUUGAGUAUUAGAAGUCUAAGAGACAGUAAUUUUUAAAAGAGAGCAAUUUUUUCAAAGCUUUAAAAUCAUCUCUCUUUUAUUCCAUUUCAUUGCAUUGUAGCCGAUAUAUGUAUUUAAAACAGAUGGAUCCACAUUUUUGAAAUUGCUGUUAAAUUUAUUGUAAUUUAAUUGGAUUGAGAUUGUGGAAUUUGUGGCCUUAAAUUGUAGUGUAAUUGUUGUCUUUUUUUGUUUGUUUCCUCUUAUGUAAGUAGUGUCUUAGAUAUGCUUGAUAUGGACCCAGUUAAUGCACCUUCCUCUCAAACCCCAAUAGGUCAGAUCAAUCACAACCACUGCCAAAACCUGCAUCGUCUAAUGCCAAAUCAACAUUACCUCCAUAACCUCCAUUAGGGAAAAAAAAAAUGUUUUAAGUCAAGUGAUAUAUGGGAUCACUUUGUUAAAAUAGAAGAUAGUGAUCCUGAUGAUCCUAGAUGUGAAUGCAUAUACUGCCAUAAGGAUUAUGCAUGUGGUUCUAAGAAGUGUGGAACUAGUAUCCUAAGGAAUCAUUUGAAGCAAUGUUUGAAAAAUCCUUAUAAAGUAGAUGAAAAGAAGCAAAAGACCUUAACUUUUGAUAGGAAGUUCGAUGGUAGUGGUAGCAAUUUGGUAGCUAUAGUUUUCAACAAAGAGGCAUAUAGGAUGACAUGUGCUAAAAUGAUAAUAUUGGAUGAGUUGCCUUUUAGUUUUGUAGAAGGCCGUGUGUUUAGACAUUUUUGUAGUGUUGCAUGUCCUAAGUUUGAUCUUCUAUAUAGAAGAACCAUUGUGAGGGACAUUUAUCAAUUGUACUUGAAUGAGAAGUUGGCUUUAAGAUCAAUGUUUGUUGCGAAGCAACAGAGAGUCAGUCUUACAACUGAUACAUGGACUUCUAUUCAUAAUGUUUGUUAUAUGUCAUUGACUGCCCAUUAUGUUGAUGAUGAUUGGAGGUUACAUAAAAGAAUUUUAAGUUUUUGUGUGGUUCCUAAUCAUAAAGGAGAGGCAUUUGGAAAGCUAAUUGAGAUUUGUUUGCAUGCUUGGGGUAUUGAAAAAGUAUUCACAAUAACCCUUGAUAAUGCAAGUGCAAAAAUAAUAUAAUUGCAUAUUUUAAAAGGAAAACAGUACAUUGGAAAAGUUGUGUAUUGCAUGCUGAUUUUUUGCAUAUUCGAUAUAGUGCACACAUUGUGAACUUGAUUGUGUGUGAGGAUUUGAAAGAAUUAGAUAACUCAAUUGUUAGCAUUCGUAAUGCUGUGAGAUAUAUUAUAUCCUCUCCUUCUCGAUUGCAAAAAUUUGAAGAGUGUAUAAGUCAAGAGAAAAUUGAUAGCAAAGCUUUAGUAUGUUUGGAUGUUCCAACUAGAUGGAACUCCACAUACUUAAUGUUAGAGUUGGCUUUGAAAUUUCAAAAAGCCUUUGAGAGAAUGGAGGAGGAAGAUGGACAUUAUGUUUUCUAUUUUGGAGAGGAUGAUAGUGGUAGAAAGAAGGUUAGACCUCCUUUAGCUUGGCAUUGGGAUGAUGCUAAAGUUUUUAUCCAAUUUCUUAAAGACUUUUAUGAUGUGACUCUUAAAUUUAGUGCCUCGUUACAUGUUACCUCCAACAUAUAUUUCCAUCAAGUUUCUUCCAUACAAAAACAAUUGGAUGUCUUGUGUGUUAGUGAGGAUGACCGGCUGUGUGUUAUGGCAAGGAAAAUGAGAGAAAAGUAUAAUAAAUAUUGGGGUUCCAUGGGAAAUAUCAAUAAAUUGCUUCUAGUUGCAGCAAUGCUUGAUCCAAUAUAUAAGUUAGAUUAUGUCUCAUUUAGCUGUGGGAUGCUUUAUGACAAUGAGGAAAGUAUAGUUACUGAAUUGGCAAGUGGUUUGAAAAAUACGUUAAUGAGGUUGUAUAAUUGGUAUAAUGAAAAAGAAAUGGGUUCAGACAAUUGUUGCCAAUCUUCCAUUGGUGUUGAGUCUUAUGGAACUAGUUUGGAUAGUAAUAGCAAUGGAUUAAAAUAGACCAACUAUGCUGACUAGGUUUGGAUUGCUUAUUUAAGGAAGAGAGAACAAAGCCAAUGUCAGGAGAUCAAAAAUGACGUUGAUAGGUAUUUGGUUGACCCUUGUGAAUCUGGUUUAAAUAAAGAUUUUGAUAUCCUAAAUUGGUGGAGGGUUAAUGGAGAGAAAUACCCUGUGUUAGAGAAGAUAGCAAAGGAUGUAUACGUUAUUCAAGUCUCUACUGUGGCUUCUGAGAGUGCUUUUAGUACUGAAGGCAGGAUACUUGAUCCUUUAAGGAGCUUUUUAACUGCUAAAAUGGUGGAGGCUUUGAUAUGUUGUCAAAAUUGGCUUAAUGCUUCUCCAAGUUUGGACAGAUUUUUUUAGAAGAGAUGGCGUAUUAUGAAAGUUUAAAUGCAGACUUAUGCUAAAGCCAAACAGUAGCACCAUCUUCGGACAGCAGCAACAAAAAGGAUUGAUUGUGCACUGUAGAGUGGAUGGACAGCAGCAACAAAAAGGAUUGAUGCCAAAGCCAAACUUGAAAGCUUUUGACAAUGAUAAAAGCUUUGUGGCAGUGGCAGUGGAGGCUUUGGUAGUGGCAGUGGCAAUAGGAGAGUGGCUUUGGAUUUUUGAAGGGUCUGGUAGUGGCAAUAGGAGAAUGGUAAUGACAAUGGCACUUUGGAAUUCUGAUUUAUUAUUUUGAUAUUUGCAUUUUGUGUUUGCAUUUCUCAUUCUCUUUUUUGGCCAUGGCAAUGGCAGACUAGCAGUGGCAUUGAAUUUCUUAAUUUUCAAUUUUCCCUUUGAUAUAUGUUGAAUUCUUGAUCAAUUUGAAUCUGUAUUAUUAAACAUGACAUUAGUAUUUUAAAUUUGUAUCUGUAUUGUUUUAUAAGCCUGUAAUAUUUAGUUGAAUGCUUGUAUUUAAUUAUUUAUAAUUUAUUAUACUUGAGAGA